GGGCUGCACAUUUUCAGUUUUUGCAAGUGCAUUAGCUCUCUUAGGUUUUCGUUUAAGACCAAUAUGAGCGAGUGAGAUAAACUCGACUAGCUUAGGUAAGGCAUCAAGCGUGAAAUCCACGCACCAGGCCCCUCAGCACCGGACCCCAAACCUUUUUUCUACACUAAAUAUGAAAUUAUCCCACCUUGCCACAUCGUUGAAGAAUGGUGGAUAUCUUGGGCAAAUGUGCAAUAGCACGAUGGAUAUCUUGGGCAAAUGUGCAAUACCACGAUGGAUAUCUUGGGCAAAUGUGCAAUACCUCGGUGGAUAUCUUGGGCAAAUGUGCUAUAUACUGCUGGAUUAAAGUACUGGUAUGAUUACUUCGUUAGUUACGUUAUUAAAGGAAGAAGCUGCUGCAAGGUUAGUGACAUUUCAUUAUAGUAGGGAUAAAAUCUGGGGGUCCCUGCGGUUAGGAAUUGAGUAUGGCCGUGAUUAAGCGGCAGCAAUACGGCGAAUUGAUCCGUAACAAUAUGGCGGAACACAACAAUAUGGCGGACCAAUCCGUAACAAUAUGGCGGUGCAGUAAUAAUAUAGCGGAUUAAUAUGUAAACAAAUUAUGCGCGAUAAAAACAUGCGUUUAAAAAAUAAACUAUACAUCACACUAAGGCGACAAAAAUUCGAACAUUGGGGGGUACCCCUUAUACGGCAAAUUACCAAAUAUCUAACGAAAUAUGAUUUCCAAGAGUAGAUGUUGAUAAAAAAUUGAAUAAGGCAUGAUUUAGGAAUUUUAUUUUUUAUUUUUAUUUAUGAUUUUCUAUAAAUGGGGGCCCCAAGUAUAGUUGAUGGGAUUUAAUGUGUAAUAUAGAGAUUGUAUUUUUUGUAAUGUAUAUAAGGUGA